rfam:Nomascus leucogenys chromosome 22a, whole genome shotgun sequence.
GCCGGGUAUGGUGAUGCAUGCCUAUAAUCCCAGCCAUGUGGGAGGCUGAGUUGGGAGAAUCGCUUGAGCCCAGGAGUUCAAGUCUGCAGUGAGCAAUGAUCAUGCCACCACACUCAAGCCUGGGCAACAGAGUGAGACCCUAUCUCAA